UUUGUGUCUAGUAGUUAUGAUUACAAUCGAGUAGUGUGUAAUUAAUGAUGUCAGAUUGUAGGUUUGAAAAUCAGUAUCAGUUGAAUAGUUAAUCCUCAUUGGUGAUCUUUCCUGCCUUAUCAUUGGACCUCUUUGAAAGACCACAUUUUGGUACAGUGGAGGAAGAUUUAGUACAAUGCUUUGCUAGUUAUGGAGUGCCAGGGCAUAUAUUCUAUAAUCUCCUAGCAAGGGGAUGGUUGCAUCUGAUCUCACUAAUACUUCCUUAACCCUGUUUACAUCAUCAUGAUAGUAUCUUCUUUGUUAGAUAGUAAGGUGACAUGGAUUGGAUACACAUU